GAUAGAGAGAGAGAGAGAGAGAGAGAGAGAGAAAGAGCUUCGU
rnacentral:sRNA from 1 species